UUCCGUAGGUAGGUCAAAAGUUGAAAAAAGGCUUAAUGGAUGCUAGACCUUUGCUGAUAGAAGUGCGACUUGUGCUGCGCUCCGAAACCAGUAGGCCGGCUGCCAAUUACUUUAAGGCGAGUCUCCAGCAAAGCUAGAGACAAGACGCCCAACACCAAGCAAAGCUUGAGGGUACAAAUGACGCUCGAACAGGCAUGCCCUUUGGAAUACCAAAGGGCGCAAUGUGCGUUCAAAGAUUCGAUGAUUCACUGAAUUCUGCAAUUCACACUACUUAUCGCAUUUCGCUGCGUUCUUCAUCGAUGCCAGAACCAAGAGAUCCGUUGUUGAAAGUUGUAAUUAUUAAUUUGUUACUGACGCUGAUUGCAAUUACAAAAGGUUUAUGUUUGUCCUAGUGGUGGGCGAACCCACCAAGGAAACAAGAAGUACGCAAAAGACAAGGGUGAAUAAUUCAGCAAGGCUGUAACCCCGAGAGGUUCCAGCCCGCCUUCAUAUUUGUGUAAUGAUCCCUCCGCAGGUUCACCUACGGA
rnacentral:misc_RNA from 1 species